AUAAGUAGAUAUUUAUCUCUAUCUGUACACAUUAAUUAUGUGGUUUGAACAAUAUCUUAAUUUAUUAUCAUAAUAAUAUUUAUAACUUGAAACCAUGUUUUCAUAGCAUAAUUUUCGUUUGCUUUAAACCAAAUUAUCCGAAUUAACAUGAUCUGAAAUGUGUAGGUUUACCAAACAUUUACUUAAACUUUCCCAAUGAAAAAGCUUCAUACAAGAAAACUAUAUCAAAAAUGACUCUGAGAGUGAGCCAAAGGGUAAAGAG